rnacentral:lncRNA from 1 species
GUAUCCUUCCUAGUGCUGCUUCUUGCAGCCCUUAUCCUCAUGCCUCAAGGGCUUGCUACUUACUACAAACCAAUUAAGAAGCCACCAGUGUACAAGCCUCCAGUGUACAAGCCACCAGUGUACAAACCACCGGUUUAUAAGCCAAAACCACCGGUUUACAAGCCGAAACCACCGGUUUACAAGCCACCAUAUAAGAAGCCACCAUACAAGAAACCACCUUAUGGAAAGUACCCUCCAGUAGAGGACAACACCCAUGCCUAAAGCAAGCAAUGAGGUCUAUUAUCUACUUAAUAAAUAAGAGGAACUGCUUUGUGUUUUCUAGCAUUGUGACUUACAACUUCGUAGCAAUGCAUAUUCUUGACUCUUGCAUGCACUUCAAUCCUUCGUAGCAUUAAUGAUGUGGCCAAGUCAUCAUGAGCAUCAUACUUAUUUCUUUGUGAAUGUAAAUCAAAAUUAUAAGAGAGAAAAUGGUGCUUUUGUACUACAGAUUACUAUAAAUAAAAAACUUUUAUGGUUUUCAGAUUGUGCUGGUUGAUUGAUUUGCUCUACCAUUAAUUAUGACGAAACGUAGUUUUUUUUUUUCUCUUUUUUAAUCCGUAAAAAUAAAAAAAAUAAAAAAAUAAAUUUAUAAUAAUUCACACUUUAUUUAAUUAAUCGAAAUAAAUUCCAUAAUAGAUGAUACAUAGUUUGACAUACUAUUGUUAAGCUUAAGAUUAAAGAUCGACCCUAUGUUGCAACUAAACUUUCUACAAUCAAUUUUAUAAAUUGGAUUGGUGCAUGUAAGUCUAGCUAGCUAGAGGCAGAAGAACAGUACUAGAGUAGUAGAUGGAAGCCACUCUCCACGCACCUCAAAUAACUCGCAAUUAAACUUGAGCAUAACAUCAAUAGCGACUUAAGUUAAUUUCAAUUAUGGGCUCUAUUUGAACAAAUUUCUCUAUAAAUAUUUCCAGAAGAAAAUAUUAAGAAAACAAUAAAUUGAACUUCUCAUUUAAGUUAAAAUAAACAUAUUUGUAUAUUUUUUAUAUAAAAACUCUCAUUUAACUUCUCUUAAAAAUAUUGAAGUAUAUAAAUUAAUUUUAGCUUAUGAAAAAAAAAAUCAACUUAUUUUAAUUUUCUAUUCUUAAAAAGCCAUAGUUAUAGUUAAUGUGUACAAAGACCAGUUCCUACGAGAGUUGCUGUAUCCUCCUAAACCAAAUAUCCGAAUACUCCUACUCAGUAAGAAUAUUUUGAUAUCUGUUAAUAAUUUUAUAAUAAAUUAUUUAUUUAAUUUGACAUUUUAAUAUUUAAUUUCUUUCCAAGUUUACCCCUUUUCCAUAUGACCAGUCAACUUAUCCUCUUCAUUCGACUUUAAAAAGAGUGGGUGGUGGUGCGGUGAAGCUGAAAACCACACACAAUGAUGGUGGUGGAGAAUGUGAAAAUGGUUGUGGUCGGAGAAGGAGGUACAAGGGACAAAGUUAACUGAGGAAAAAAAAAACUCAGCGUGAGAGAGGGUCUUUUGAAAAAAAGGACAAAUUUGGAAAGGAGAAAAAAAGUUAAAAAGUGUGUUAACAAGUGUGAAUGCUUAGGUGAUUCAGUUACUUUUUCGCCACAUAUGAUCGGAGGAAUAAACAUUUCUCUUUUUCAUAUUACUAUUUUUGUAUGUUUGUCUACACGUACAUGUGGACGGUUAUUUGUAUCAAGUAUCAACUACAUAUGGGUGUCAAAAUUUAAAACUGAACCGAAUUUAAUGAAUUGAUUCAACAACUCUAAUAUAUAUGUGAUGUGAUUUGAAUUUUAAUAAUUUGCGUACGAUUUUAAUUUAAUUUUGAACCUACUUCAGUACAAAAAUUUACGUAUAAUCUUACUACAAGUACUUAAGUCACCACAAUCAUCUACACUCACAUCUUGAAAAAGUGACAUUGAUAGCAAAUUCAUGAAGUACUCACAGCUAACGUCAUUUGAUGGUUGAAUGAACCCCUCAGCUACCCAUAGCUGAAUGAGUGUUCUCUUAUCAAACUCAAAACCUUUUGGAAACAAUGAACAAUAAGCAAAACAGUUUUCCAAAAAUGAAGGAAGAUGGUCAAAACUCAGUUUAAGGAUUGCAAAGAUUUUGUCCUUCUCUUGAUCUAUCUUUGAAAACCCAACUUCCUUAGAGGCUAUUACUAUGCGCACCCAGCAUAAUUACUGGUACAUCCAGCAUAACAGCAUAAUUCCCGUUUUGUCCUUUCCUAAAAUUGAUACAAAUUGUCAAUUCAUAUAAGAUUUACGGAUUGUCCAAUCUGUAAGUAGCCCAAAUAUUUUUUUAAUUUUUUUUUUAAAAAAAUAUGUUUUAUGAAUUAAUUUAAAAUUAAUGAUUCAUGCAAGAAUCAAACUUAUAACUUUCACGUUAUUAACACGACAUUCUAACCAAUCUCAAUAUUCUUGUCAACCCUUUUAAGUUAUUUUCUUUAUGUUAGUUUUUAACCGAUGUUGAAAGUGCCGAUGUUGAAUGUAUUAUCGUUAACAUCGGUUUUAAAAAAACUGAUGUUAACGUUAAUUUUACAACAUCGUUUAUUUAAAUAACCAAUGUUGAUAAUAAGAAUUACACCCAAAAAAAUGUAUUAAUGUUGAUAGUUAACAUCGGUUUUUUGGAAAAAUCGAUGUUAACGUAACUUAACAUCGGUUUUUUUAUAUAAAAUUGAUGUUAACGUAUGUGUUAAUGUUGACAGUUAACAUCGGUUUUUUGGAAAAACCAAUGUUAACGUAACUUAACAUCGGUUUUUUUACAGAAAACCGAUGUUAACGUAUGUGUUAAUGUUGACAGUUAACAUCGAUUUUCUGUAAAAAAAAAGAAAACCGAUUUUAACGUACGUUAACAUCAGUUUUUUCCAAAAACCCGAUGUUAACGUAUGUGUUAAUGUUGACAAUUAACAUCGGUUUUUCCAAAUAAUCGAUGUUGUUUUCAGGAUUUUUUUUUAAAUAUUCUCUCUGUUUUUACAAAAAAAACCAAAAUUUAACCUGUAAAUUUAAAAUUAGACCACACAGCAUAUAUGAUUUGCAUUUUGCUUUCAAAUAGGUUUUAGCAGAAAACUAGCUAGUAAACUAUUAAAAUGAAACAUCAAUUGUAAAAAAUGUAAUGCAAAGUACGGUAAACUAAUUAAGUAACCUAAAGUUACAUAGUUCCCUAACAUCCUAUGUUUGAUUUCUAACUUUUAGAUAAUAUUGUGCCCACUGCAUGUGAAGCGCCUUGAAUCUCUCUGCUUCCAAUGAUCUAACAUCAUUAAAAUACUGGAUGAUCAAAUAAAAGAUAAAUUAAUGAUGUAAUAACAAUGAUAAGAAAAUCAACUUUGUUUGAAAUAAACAAUUACCGUUUCUCAAUUAUUCCUGAAAGUUCCUGAGAUUAUCGUGGACAUCUAGUGCAUGACGUAAUAGCUGUACUCAGUGUUUCGUUUUUGUCUAUUACACUAAAUACAUAAUGAAAUUUGGAUAUUAAUUAAGCGUUAACUACAAUUAGUGUACACACACAUAAGCAGUAUAUAUAAUUAGAAGUUUAAUUUAAAUCACGUACCUUAACAACAAUCCACCUAGCCGCAGCCUUGGAUUUAGGUUGUGGAGUAUCAUCAAGUCCUUUCAAAGCACUAUUGAAUACGAGGAACAUUAAAAUAUUGAUGUUGUUGAGUUAUGCUAAUGCAAAUAUAUUGAAAACAACAUUGACCUGUUAAUUAUUCCCUUAAGGUAGUUGUCUGGCCUGUUAUGUAAAGAACAAAACCAGACAACUAGGUUUUCCUUAGGCAAAAUGACGACCAUUUGCCAGUGUCCGCUGCAGUGGAGACGAAUAUGGGCUAUUGUAAUAGUAUAGAUUAUUUAAAUUCAGUUGUUGUGUUUGACUUACCAAUUCAGGUAAGCUCCAAGGUAAACAUCGCGUUUUGAACCCUGCAUCCAACUCUUGAUGUAACUUUUCGAUUCAAAUUGUGAUUGCCCAAAUCUCUGAAUGGACUGUGGCUCGAGAAAUCCAUACACAUCGGAAUUCCCCGCUCACAUACUUGUCUCAGUCAGAUGCCUGUGUUGUUAAGACAAAGUUAAUUAUGUAUGAAUUUAAAACAAUUACUUUGUUAAUUAACAGUAAUCUAAAUUGACUUACAAAAUUCACAACUGUAUAACAGAGAUGCUGAGACAUUGACCACCGUGUGCUAUUUCAUACAGAUCUUCAUGCUUUAUGUACAAGGGAAAGUCUGAAUUAAACAGCCCGAACAGGGAAGCAUCCCACAUAACCUUGAGAGGCUUCAAAAACAAUUGUGGGAUGGUCAAUGUCAUCAGAUGCAGAGGAUCAUCGACCUCACGAUCCGGGCUUUUUGGAGGUUUUGCUAGAGACACAACUGCCUGUUAAUCAAACAUAGUUAAUUAACAAGUUUUGAUUACAGUGAACAAAUCAAUUGAAAAAAAGAAACAUAUAAUCAGAGUAAAAUACCUGUUCUGAUAAACGUUUCACGAGAUGUAUCGGCCAAGCAAGGAAGGUGUUAAGUGUCUGCCCCACUAAGGUAACCUUGUCAAUGGGUACAGGAACGGGAGUCUCUGCAUCUUUAACCUCCUCAACACCAACCUUCACUUGGCCAUGCAACAAAGGGAUGUUAUGAACCACUGUGGAUCCCUCAUAAAGUCUUCCUAGGGCAACCAAGUAGGAAGGAUUUUCUUCAAUUUACAGCCCGCAUUUGUCUGAGUCAUCCGUCUCUGGAUCGUUCCCUGAGGAAUCAACACAACUCUUCUUUGUGCUGACACGAGCACUUGAGGGACCAACCUUUGGCUCCGGAGGCAGUGUAAAUCCCUGUGAUUGCAUCUGAGACUGAAACUGGGACUGCAUUUGGCUGAAGGAUGCCAUCACCUGCUGAGUAACUUUUUCUGUGAUCGACUCCUCCAGCUAGUCCCUGAUUUGUUGGGUUAACUGUUGUAGGUCUUCAGGAGGCAUAGAGGAAGAACUACGGGACAUUCGUGUAGCCAAUCCGAAAUAUUGCUUUAUGGUCACAUCAGCUCCAGCAGCACGGACACGGCCAGGGUGCUCUGAUCGCCCAAUGACAACAGUCAGGACAUCCUGACGUCUAUGGGGGACGAACGAUCCCUGUGACGCCUGCUCCUCCAAAGAAUCCUGUACAUAACACAUAUAUCUGUCCAAGGCAUUCACAAAAUACACAAAGAUAAUUACAAUUCUUAAUUGAAAAUGACUUACAAUCUUCUCAGUUAUUUCCUUUGUUGCCUCAGACGUCAUCGGCCCAGUUUUCUUUGUGUAGACCAUUUUUCACUUCAUGUGGCGUCUGAUGGGAGAUGGAGGGUCAAUGACGCCCUCAGUGCUUUCGGAUUGGGCAGCUUCCUCCAGUCUUUUCUUUGUCUUCUCAGCCAUAAGCUUUUGUUCUAAAUAUUCAUAACCCCCACGAAACAACACGUGGGGGGCAGUGUUUUGCUUCUGGAUGACUUGUGUUUUUUUCCGCACAUCCUGCAAAAAUCGAACAUUAAUGAAAAUGAUUACUACAAUGAAUUAUAAGAAGUUAUUUUUUUUGUGGAAAACAACUAAAAUGACAAACUACAUACCUCCCACGAGGGGUCUCUGCGGGUCUGACAAAACUUGGCCCAUUUCUCCUUGCUAAUGUCGCAUUUUUCACAGACAGUGUCGUCCACACCGUCCUUGUCGGCUGCAAGUGCCCAUUUCCUGGUCAAGUCAGAUUUAAACUGCCUCCACGGCUUGUCGACAGUCUGAAGAAUUUUCUUCUUUGUCCUACUGUUAGAAGCUUCAGGGAUUUCAGAUGUUAAGAUCAAGUAGUUAACAUCGGUUUUGACAUCGGUUUUGAAAAAACCGAUGUUAACUAACUCGACUUAUUUACAAAAAUGUCAUCGUGCUUUUCUUAACAUUGGUUUUUUAAAAAAUCGAUGUUAAUCGUGCGAUGUUAAAUCUAUAUUUUGUAGUAGUGUUUAGGUAUCUCAUAAAUUAGUCAAUUUUAUUUUGAGUUCUUAAAUUUUUUUCUUUUUAUUUGAUCCUUGAUAUUUUAUUUUUGAGUUCAUGCCGUUAAAAAUUUUAAAAUGCAAUUUUUUACUACUAAAAAUAAUAACAAUGUAAAUUUAUUUAAAAUAUUAAAUUACCAUUUAUGGCAAUUCAAUUGGAAAAAAUGAAGUAGAUAUGAUCAAAUAAAACCUUACAGACAAGACGAAGUCUAAGGUGGUCAAGUGAGUUAGGUGAUUUCUGGUGGUCAAAUAAUUUUUUGCCAAUAGAUUUAUUAAUAAAAUAUUAAACCAUUCAGAUGAAAUCUUUUUGUCAGUUUUUAACAAUUAAAAUUAUUUCCUCCCUUGUCUGUCGUGCACCACCAUUGGCAACACGUCACUACCUUGCUUUACUUUCCACUCUUCUUCUUUCCCUCUAUUUCCCUUCGUACUUUGACACCUCCGUAACCUCACUGUCAUGUUGUUGAAUUCACAUCCUUGAUUUUAAUUAUGACAAACCAUUAGCAAAACAAAUUGAAAGGAUGAUGGGUUUAAGUGAUGGCUAACAUUUCUCCCAAGCGUUUUAGUGUUUAUUCCUUAAGAAGCAUAAGUGUUCUUUCAUUCUGAUGUACUUAGAAUGAUGCUUAGAAAGGUUCGAAGAAUUGUUGUGAGAGUUGAAAACUUAGAAGAAUCCUUAAAGCCCAUCAAAAUGAUGAAAUUUGCUUCCCUUUGAAUACUUAGUUCUUGGCAAGAUACUGAACAACCUUACAUAAAAGAUUCAUCAAAAGAUUCAUCAAAGGCUACCAGAAGAACAUCUUGGUUUAGAAUGAAGUUAUGCAGAGUCUACAUAGAAUGACAAACACCUUGACUCUGAGUUUCUAAACAUCAGAAUGAUUCAGAAAGACUCAUAAUGCAUCACUUAAACAAUAUUAGAAGAUUAAAGUUUCACAUUUCUUCACUUUGCAUAUGCCACCACAAUCACUGUAGGCACGUUAGAAAGUAAGAAUUGACUGCAUAAAAAGAUGUAAAAUUGUUGAAUGAUGAAGUUGUCCAUGAGAAGCAUUAAUGUAAACCAUCAGAUUGAAGGACUAAAGAAAACUACUCAGCCUGACCAUAGACAAAACACUAACACACCAACAACUCAAUUUCUACUAAGUCUUUCUAAAGUAAAUCAACUUAAGAAUGUUUCAAAGUUGUGAACAAGUGUUAAGAGUGAUGAAGUUGUACGACUUCGGAUUGAAAUUUCUAUCUAAACUUCGUCAAAGGAAUUCAUUAAGCAUGGACUCAUUCUUUACAAACAUCAUAAUGACUAUUGUGAUGGUUCUUCAGAAUCCGCAUAAAAAAAGUUCCUCAGAAUGGUAAUCUCCAAAUGGUUUUGUCUACUGUCACUUCAUGAUAGUUAUAAGGUGAACCUACUUGCUCCAGAAAUGUUUCAGUUGUGUGGAGCCCACUACAAUGAUUUUCUUGGGAGCUUUAUAAGGAAUUUUAGAAGGCUAUGAAGAACAAGUUGAAGCAUUCCAAAUUUGUAUCACAUUGUGCAAGUCCUUUGAGUAAGAAAUUUGUGUUUUAGCUUCAACCCUCUCUGUUAGAGUGACCCACUUUUGUAUUGUGCUUUCAAAGCUUGUAAUAACCUUAGAUAGAAAUGAGAGAUUAAGUUCUUGAGUGGAAUCCCUCAUGUGAGGUGAAAAUCUUUAGCAUGUGUCGUAAAACCAUAGAUAUUUUUUUUUUAUGUAAAGUCCAAUAGUGACUAGCAAAGGUGAAAUCCAGUGGUGCAGCUGGUCUAGUAGAAGAUUGAAGUCUAGUAAGGAAUUGACAAGGUUGUGAAACCCAAUGGUUGUUGGUCCAGUUGUGAAUUGGUUGUGUUACUGAAAUAACAUCUUUAAGGGUGAGGAUUGGACGUAGCCCAAGGUUGGGGUGAACCAGUAUAAAAACCUUUGUGCACUUUCUUCUCUUUCUCUAUAUUUUGUUCUUGCACAAAUCUAAAACUACUUUUGUAUAAAAUACUAAAUUUGUUAACUUUUUAUCUUAACAACUAAACUAAGUUUUGUUUUAUCAAGAGGUAUUAGUAAAGAACUAUCUUUAAAACAAAAGUCUUAAAACUGCAAAAGAACUAUUUUUUUGAAUGGUUUGCAUUUUCAUUCUGAGUUGCUUGAAUUUCCAUUCUAAGCUCAUAACAGUUUUUAUAUUCUGAACUACCAUAAAAAAAACCUUUUUGUUUUCAAAGGAAGAUUAAAAGUUUUCAAAACCCCAAUUAAACCCCCAUUUUUGGUAUUUUUCUCACUUCAAUUAGCAUCAAAGUUUAAAUGAGUUAUUCACGAGCCCUUAAUGUCAAGCUUUCAAAGCUUGAGUUUGACUCAUUUAAAUAAUCAAGCUUAAUCUCAAGCUUAAAUUUGUUUGUUUAAUUAAACAAAUGAACUUAAAUGAUUAAUUAACAAGUUGAACUUGAAUAGUUCACAAAUAGUUUGUCUUAUUCACAUCCCUAACUCUUCAUUUUUUUAUCCAUAGGAAUUGAAUAAGAUAUAAAAAAAUUUAGAACACUCAGACACCCUGCUUAAUCAACUAAGUUAGACACCUUUAGUCCCUAACUCUUCAUAUGGUUAUAAUCAUAUUCUAGUAACAAUAUGUUUCAUUUCACUACCUUACUAAAUUACAGGACUGACUUCAUUAUUUUGCAACACCCUUUACAUCACAUCAUUCAUUCAUAAAAUUUGCAUUAGUUAAAUAAAAUUAUUCAUCAUCAACAACUAUGUAAUGUAUACCACCAUGCAAUCAAAGGAUAAGCAAUUAAGAAAAUAUUUAAGCUUAUAUAAUCCAAGUAGCAUGAUUGCCUUAAUUGGUACAUAAUGCAAGGCAUAAAAACCAAAAAGUGGCAGUAUGUGUAAUAACAAAAUGAAACAAAGGAAGGAGAAAAAAUUAUUUGUGUGUUACAAAUAAAGAGGAGGAAGAAGGAAUAAUUUAAAAAUAACUCCAUAUAUUAUUUGUUCUAUUAUUUUAUCCAAUGAAUUGUGAAGAAAAUAGAUGCAUUAGUAACUAAUUAUCUAUAAAAUUAUAUGAAUUGGUCCAAUAUAUUAUUUAUUUAUUUUGUAAUUGAAGAAUUUUCUCAUGAUUAACUUAGAUGAAUAAUGAAUAAGUUAAUUAUUUUGUUGCUCCUAAUUUAACCUGGUGUGUCUAUAACUCAUGGUUCAGGUUGACCCAUUCUCUUAAUCUAACUUUGUUUGUUCAUUGAGUUGCUCUUUAAUAUGGGUGGGCUUAUUAUCAACAUGGCCAGUAAUAAUGGGAAUUGAAUCAUGCACUCUCAUAAGUGUAUCCUAGAUCCCACUAUUCCGUUUGAAAUUAUUUGAUUGCCUUUAAUCAAUUAGCACUAUCUUCCCCAACCCAUUCGCGAUGUCUCCCUCCUACGAAGGUUGCUCCCUUCCUCCUUCGUCUCAAACCUGCAUAUCCUCGUUCCCUUCCUUCUUCGUCAUUGAAGGCAAGCUUCUUCCUUUCUGGUGGGGUUGGGGUUGGGUUCUGGUAGGGAUGGGUUUUGGGGGUGGCUUCUGGUAGGGGUGGUUUCCGGUGUGGAUGGGGUCGCAUUUCAAAAUGCUCAUUCUGUAACCAAAAAAUGCUUUCGGAAUGAGCUUUCCAUAAGCAAAAAAAGCUUCAAUUUUUCAUAAGCCAAAAAAACAUUCAGAAUAGUUGUUCUGGAAGUACUUUAGCUUAAGCAACGACUAUUCCAUAAGCAAAUUUGUAAAUCCAAAACAUCCUGUCUAGAAGUGUAUUUUAUAUAUUUUGUAAGGGGGGUUCCAAAAAUUAGUAUUGGGCUUACAAAAAGCCCAUUAUGGAAGCAACAUCUGCAAUCCAAAGUAGCCUUUCCAAAAGUGUAUUUUGCAUCUUUCAAAAAGUACGAUUUUGGCUUAUGGAAUGACCAUUUCGAAAACAAAAUUGCAAUCCAUAAUAGUUUUUUGGGAGUACAUUUUGUACCUUCCAAAUGUUCAUUUGAGACAACAAUAUUUUUACUUACGAAAUAGGUGUUCCAUAAGAUUUUUCCUUCUGAAAUGGUCAUUCCAUAAGUGAAUUUAUCCCUUACGGAAAGCCUAUUUCGGAAACAAGUUUACAACAUGAACGUGAAUGCACGUUAAAAUGUACCUGCAAAGUGGAGAGUUAGAGAAGGAGAGGGACUUUUGCGGUGUUGAGUUGGACUUGCUUUGUACCUUCAAUGGUUGCGAGAAAAAGAGUUGGAGAAGAUAAGAAGAACUGGAAAAGGGGUUUAGACUUGCGCUAUAGGAAGAGAAGAACGAGAAUGGGCUGCAACUACGAGAGAAAGAAGGGAAACCGAGGAUGAGGAUAGAAAGGGUAGGUUGGGGUUUAUUAAAAAAUGGGAGAUGCAUGAUACAUUUAGGGAGGUGCAGAAUUCCAGUAAUGACCAACUCAAGUCCAAUUAAUGGUGACAUCAUAAGUUAAUGACUUAGUGUCACUUUUGAUCCAUUAUGUUUCGCAAUUAUUUUGUUUUAAUACAUUGAGUUUAAAAUGUUUCAUUCCAAUCCUUUAUGUUUUUGAAAUAUAUUGUUUUGACUCUUUUUCUAAUUUUCUAUUUGAAAUGUUAGUUUUUUGUUAAUAUUUAAAUUUCAAAAUAAUUAAUUUAUGACAGUGGUGAUUAAAAAUCGUCACAAUAUUUAAAUUAAUUAUCUUAUUAUAAAUAUAAUUAUUUAAACAUUAAUUGUAGCAAUUUUUAAUUCCAACAAAUUUCUUAUUAAAUUUUUAUAAAUGAUUCUUCAUCCUUGAAGAUUCAAUCUUCAUUCCACAAAUCAACAAAUGCAGUUUACAAAUAGCAAGAACAAUUUUUAUUUGCAAGAAACAUAGAGAUGUUCACUCAAUAAUGAUAUAAAACUUGUUCUUUUUUACACAACAAAACACAAUGAGCCCUUUUUUUUUUUAUCACAUAUGACGAAAGCAACAGCUCCAGGGUCAUUAAUUAGCUUUGCAAACGGGAUCUGAUAAUCACAACCGUGGUUGAUAAUCCUCCAAUGUAAUUUGUGUUUAUAAAUUUUAUUUUUUACUCCUUUAUAUACUAUUCAUUUUCUAAAAAAGAUUACUCAUGUAUGUAACUAAAGAUUAUAUUUUUUGUUUCUGUUUAAAAAAAUGUUUUCUUAUGUUAAUUUUUUUUCUUAAUCGAUGCUUUAAUGAUAUAAGUAAUUAACUAUUUGCUCCUGCAAUGUAGUUUAAGUGUUAUGCUACAUUGUUAGUUUUUAUAUAUGCAUGUGGGAAGGUUCACUUGGAACAAGUUGCAGUGCAAACUUGGAGUCUAAUAUACAUAUAACCAUUAAUGGAAGCCUUCAUUCCAAUAGACAAUAUAUAUAAGUUGUUUCGUGCUUAUAAAAUUGUAAUGUUUUUUGUAAAGGAUGUUUAAGUGUGUCAAAUAUGUUAUAGCAAGGCAAGGUACGUAGCAGUAAACUUUAAAUGAUGAGUCAAGCAUUUCCAGUAAAUCUACUCUAAUUGCAUGUUUACAUUGAAAUUUUAAAGUAUUAUUCAUUUUAUGUUAGUAGUCCUACAGCUGGCUACUAGCUAGCAUGAAUGUUUAUGUUGUUAUUUUGUGGAGAAAGUCAAAUAAUUGUUUUAGGUGAUUAAUUUCACGCAUUUAGAUAUGGAUGCUGAAAAUUCUUAAGUCAGACUUUGAAUUGUUUCAUGUUCAUAUUAAUAUUCAUAUAAAGAGAUAAACAAAUAUGUAACUUAGCUCUAUUUUUGUUUUGGUGAAUUAGCUCUAUUUAUUAUAGUCUAAUAAUAAUGGCUGCAUGUUGGACUAAAUAGCAGAAAUAUACUUUGCGGAGAUCAUUAAUUGUGAUCAAAAUUGUGGCAUUUUUUUAUUACCACUCAUAAAAUUAUCACCAUGAAAACCCUACUAAUUACGCAUUUAACGAUCCUCAAUUAUUUCAGUAAAAUAAAUUUUUGUCUACCUUAAUUUUUUUUUUCUGUAAAAUUCUCCUAUAGUUAAAUUUACAAUAGAAAUUUUCAAACGAUACUUUUUUUAAGUAAAUAAUUAAUUAAAUUUAUGCAAAAUAAUUAAAUUAGGUCAUAUCAAAUUUAAUAUGAAUUAGAUUAUUAUUUUAAUACUUAUUUACUUACAUAAAAAUAUUUAUUUUUUAAAAAAUAUAAUUAUUCACAUGAGAUUUAUAGCAAAUAAUUUUUUAACUUAAUAUUUUUAUAACUUAUUACAACUUUUUUAAACAUUAUACACCAUUGUUUUAUUUUUUGCAAUUUAUUUUUCUGUAGUUAAGGUACAACUUUGAUGAGGAAAAUGGACCAAUAUUAUAGAUAAAUCACAUUAGUCAAAAAAAUGUGAAUAAGAUGAUUUAUUAAAAAUCAUAUCACCAUUAAUUUAAUGUUUUAUAUAAAAGACAGGUUUGAUAAUGAGUUUAUAGUUUAGGAAAUUUAAAUUAAGUGAAGGGUAAAAUGUCAUGAAUAAGUUUGAAAAUUCAUAUCUUAUUUUUAGGUAUUGAGAGAAGGAUAAUGAAUUUUAAUGAUUUUAAUAUUGUUUAUUUGAAUUUGUGCAUUCGUUCAAUGAAUUUUAUUUUUCAAUAAAAAUAUCAAAUGUAGAAAAUAAAAUAAAAGAUUUUUUCUUUUUCACUAUUUUGAUUCUUAAUUUCAUAAAUAUUUUAAAUAAAUUUUAUAUUAAAAUUAAAAAUAUAAUAAAAAUAUUUGUUUUAAUCAAACGUGUUUUUAUUUUUUAUAUGAUUUUGAAAAGAAAUUAAAAGAGAGAAAAUACAAAAUUUUACUCACAAUAUAAAUUUUUUUCAUGAUAUAAAAAAAGAAAAUAGGAUUAAUAAAAUUUUGUAUGAUAAAAUAAUUAAUAGUAAAUUUAUUUAUUCUUUCUUUUACUUAUCAUUAUUUUAAAAAUAUAUAAAAUUUCAUCAAAAAUAAAUAUAUUGUAAUUCUUCCUCAAGUUAAAUGAUAUAUAAAGUUAUAUUUUCUUAACUCUAAUUUUUCUUUAUAUAUAUAUAUAUAUAUAUAUAUAUAUAUAUAUAUAUAUAUAUAUAUAUAUAUAUAUUUUGUUAAAUUUCCCUUUACUUCCAAAUAAAUAAUAAUUUUCAUUUUCCAAAACAAAAUUAGGUGAAGAGAUGAUUUGGAAAAAUAAGUAAAAUUUGAGAUAAUUAUUUUUAAUUAUAUAAAAAUUUCUAAACAAAAAUUGUAAAUGUUUAUCUGUCAUUAUUUUUCUGAAGUUUUAAAGUUAUUGUUUAAAAAAAAUUACACCUCCUACACAUAAUUUGUCCAGUGUGUCGCACAGAAACAUGUACUAGUGUAUGAAUAUAAGAAUAACACAUCCUUAUAUAAGUAAUUUGGUGUGAUCAUUUAUAUUUUCUUUUUCUUUUAUGUGAUUCUCAUCAUAUAAUAUAAACGGUAAUAUUAAUAUAUCGUUAGUUUGAGUAAAAUUAAGUUUAUUUUUUAAAAAUAAAAUCUAAGAUUCAAAUGUUAUAAAUAAAUAAAAAAUAUGAUUAAAAAAAAGCCAUCUAAUUUUUUUUGACAAAGGUUAAUGAUAAGUUUAAUCUGAGCAAUAACAUGACAGUAGAAGCAACCGACUGCAACUCGUCUACUUGAAUAUCUUCCUAAUAAUUGUUUCAACUUUCAAGCCUCGUGUGCUUUGACAUUUAUGCUCCAUAUCCUGAAAAUUUUGAUAAGAUAAGGGACCAAUCUAUACACAGUCCCAAGGAGAUUUGCAAGUAAGAAGAGAAAAAAAUAAAAUUCCAGACCCAUUGUUGGUGAAGGCGAAAUGUGUAGUGGGUUGUCAACGCAAUGCAAUGGUUCACAGUGUGCUGGUCUUAUUGAUGUUUUUUGGUUGCAGGUUCAAUGGUGGUUCUGAUGUAGAGAAGAAGAUGAAAGGGCCAAGGAGGAGAGAAUGGAACAGAGGAAGAAGAAGAGGGUAGAUGAGGAAAGAGAGAAAGAAAAAUCCAAAAAGAAAAUAAAAAUCCCAGCCAUUGAUUUUAAUUUUAAAAUAUCUAAUAAUUUCAAUUAGUUUCCCACUAUGCCAAUCUCGUAAAACUUUCGUCUGGCACCGUGCCUCGCUGUUGAAGGGUUCCCAUGCUAGCAUCUGCCAACACGAUCUGACAUUUCAACUAGGGGUGGGUAUAUCGGUCGGUUUAGUCCGUUUAAGAUCUGACAUGUGAAAUCAAUAUUUUAAGCUUAUUGGGUAAAUCUGGUUGUAAAAUAGAAAGAUUUUUUUUCUUUUUUUUAGAUUUAUAUUGGUUUCCUAAUCCGGUAAAUAAACGAAUUGGUCCGUGGGUUCAAUUAAUAAUUUAAAAAUAAAAAUAAAAAUAUAUUUUUAAUUAUUUGGUAGGUUCGCAAGCAAGAGAGGGGCAACACACGUCAACUGAAGAAGAGAAAGUAAUCUUGUGGAUCUCGUGACAGAAUGAGAGCUGGAGAAGGAGUGAGAGUUAAAAAGAAGAGACUGCCAAGUAUAAAGUCUCAACUCAAAUACUAAAUUUAUGUAAUUUUUAUUUUAAAAUUAAUUUUAUCUUAUUAGUAAAUCUGUGUAUAAAAUUCGUUAAAUUUGCAUACUUAACGAAUCAAACUCAAAUAUUAUUUAUAAUUAUAUGGAUUUAUAAAAAAAUAAAUUGAUAAUAUGCUCAAUCCACGAAAAUAACGGACCGUCCCCGCAAACCUGAAUAGUCAUCCCUAAUUUCAACGGAGUGGAAAGUGGGAAACCAUGAAACUUGCUACGUACUGUGAAAUUAAAAGGUCCGUACUAAUGUACGAAAUUAAUAAUCUUCUCCUCCCUUGUCGUCAUUUCUCACCUCAUCAUAUACAUAAUAAUACAUUAGUACUUUUUUAGGAGGACAGGCCAUAUAUAUUUUUAACACAUUUUUAAUAUUAUUUGUUGUUAAUUAGUUUUUUAAUAAAUUAUAAGUUAAGUUAAAAUUUAUUAAAUUUACAAAACUAUAAGAAAAAAACAUUAAAUAAGAUGUAGGAUCUACAAAAUUUAUAAUUUAUAAUAAAUUUUAACUAAUAAAUUUUAACUAACAAAUUUUCAGCAUUUUUCUAUUCUUUUAGACUACAAGUAUUGAUUAAGUUAAAACAACCAUGUGUUAAUGGUUCCUAUAGUAAUAUUAUUAGGAUAGAAUAUAAUUAUUUUUGGUACAAAAAUACAUGGGAUUUAGAUAAAAAAAAAUCCUGUUAAUUAAUGUUACAAGAUACAUUAUUUAAACAUUUAAAAAUUAACAUUACAUUUAGCAUUUCAAGUUUUCAACGGAGUAGAAAGUGGGAAACGAUGAAAUUUGCUACUCUUAAUUUAAAAGGUUCGUACUAUAAAUUAUAAUGAGAUUCGUCUUUACUUUCGCACCCUCUAUACAUUAUAGUAAUUUAAAGUGCAUGUGAUAUGGUAUGCGAAUAUUUCUACCUGUUGUUUAAAAUUUAUUUAGAAUAUAGUACGACACUGAAACAUUAUUAUCUCAUAAAAAAAAUUUAUAUAAUUAAAAAUAAAUUUAAUUUAAUACAUUGAUAAUAUAAUUUUUUUAUAUCAUCAAUUAAUUAAAAAUCAUUCUAAAUAUAAAUUUUAAAAUAACUAUUAUAAAAGUAAAAAAAAUUAAUAUACACAACAAUUCAUAAUUAGAUGACAUUGCGUUUUAAUUAAUUCAUUGAAAAUUAGUGCCUUUUAUAAUAAAUAAUCUAGAAGUGAUAUUUAAAGUGGUUUCUAAUUAGUUAUUAGUAUACAUUUUUACAGUAGCAUAGUUUUAAAAUUAAACUUCCAGUAUAUGUUUUUAUUUUCUAGAUAUACAUGCAGAUUAAAAAUAUAUUUUAAAACUAAAGGAGACUUUUUUGUUAUAUAAUAAUAAUAAUAAUAAUAAUAAUAAUAAUAAUAAUAAUAAUAUAAAGUGAGAGAUGGAAAUGUAUGAGGGGACGAUGUUCGAUUUAUUUUUAUGAUGGGAACAUAAUUUUUUAAAAUAAAAAAUAAUUAGAAAAUUUUAUUUAAAAUAUUUUUAUUAUUAAUAUAUCUCUUAUUAAAAUUAUAUAUAUAUAUAUAUAUAUAUAUAUGAGAUUGCUAGCAUACUCUAAUGUUAGAGUAUUUAAAUAACCUACAUCAAAUUAUUAGAAUAAAAAGCUUAACUAUUUAUUUUGUGAUAAUAAAUUUAUUUAAAAAAAUAUGAUAAUUUAAUAUUUAUAUUUUUAAAAUUCAUUUAUUUAUCUCUUCAACUCAUUCUCUCUCCUCUCUUUUUCUCUCACAUCAUUUAAUAUUUAUAUUUUCAAAAUUAAAAUUUAAAAUAUUUACCGAGAGAAUGAAUGAGGAAAAUAAAUAAAUGAGUUUUAAAAAUAUAAACAUUAAAUUAUCAUAUUAUUCUUAAAUAAAUUUAUUAUCACACAAUAAAUAGUUUAAUCUUUGAUCUAAAUAAUUUGGUGUAGGUUAAAUACUCUAACAUGAGAGAGUAAGUUAACAAAUCAUUUUAUGAAUGUACGUAUGGGAAGGAAGAAUGUAAUAGAAAACAAAAAAGAAAGAAAAAGAAGGAAAUUAAAAAUAAUAAAUGUAAUUAAUGAUUUAAGAAAAAAAUAAAAAUAUAGUAUACAAACGAGAAAAUAAUUACAGUCAGACUCAGAAACUGUCAUGAUAUUUAUUCAUCUCUAAGUAAAACAUAAUUUUAUUUUAUUUUAUUUUCCCCUCAGAAUUUUAAAAACUCAAGUGUCUCAUGUAUAGCCAAAAAAACCAUAGACGCAUGGUAGUUGGAGAGCCGAGAGCCUACAAUUAUUUCUGAGACAAAAGAUGGAAGAUAAAGUUUACAUAAUUGUUCUCUCUCCAAUUUCUAUUAUAAGAAAAAAAAUAAUUUCAUAUUAAUUAUAAAAUUAAUUAAUUUUAUUAAAUUAUGUUAAUUCCAAAUAAAAAUAAGUUUUUUAAAAAAAUUAUUUUUCAUUAAAACUUGAUAUCAAACAUAAAAAAAAAAUUAUCCUAUCAAAUGAAAGACAUUUAUUUAAAAAUAGUUUUAUUAAAUACGGUAAAGUUAAUUAACUUUUGUUUAUAUAAAAAAAAGCAAUUUUUUUGUUGCUUAUUAAAAAGACCAGUGGGAGUACUAAUUAAAACAAAACUAUGGCUGCUAUGUAACAUGGCACCAGAGAGUCUCAAUCCUUAGAGAAAUUAAAUACCAAACUUUGACAUUUCACAGAGUGAUGGUAGUAAUAAAUGACAAGGAAUGAGACCCAGCAUGGACCCAGUCCUUUGACCACUAUUAUUGUCCAGCUCAAUUGAAAUUUUUUUAUUAAGAGUUUAACUUAGUUGAAUAUGAUAAAUAAAUUAUUAUAAUUUUUUAAUAUUUAUUUUUAAUUUUUAUGAAUAAAAAACUAUUACAAUCUCAGUUCAUUUUCUUGGGACACGUAAUCAAGUUUAAUAACUAUUUCUCAUAGCUUAAAAAUUCAGUUAUGUCGAGUAUUUAUGUACAAAUUAGUUAGAACAAUAGGCGCGUAUAGUGGUCGCCCUCUAAGACAUAUAAUUGUGAAGAUCGAAGAGAAGCUUUAUACAAUUAUUAAUGAUAAAACUAUCAUUGUUAUAUAACAUGGGGCCAUAAAUGAGUGCAUGGAUUGAAUGAUGCAAAAUUGUUACAACUUAAUUAAUUAUCUUGAGUUUUAAUUUUAAAUAUAUAUUUGUGUUAAAUACUCCGGAAAGAGUUUUAUGUUCAUAAUUAUUAUAUUUAACUUGAACAAUAUUAACUCAACUGAUGAUGCAUAUAUAGUUUAUACAAAAAAUAUAUAUAUAACAUGGGACCUAGGCGAUGGCAAAACGGGUUGGAUCUAUUCGAUCAACCCAUUUUGGGCUUUUUUUUCGAAUUAGGUUGGAAUUUUCAAUCCUUCAACUGCUUUGCUAUGUUUUGAUCCGCUACAAAAUGGGUUGAGAGGAAAGUAGAACGGACCAACUCUCUAACCCGUUUUUUUUAUUAAGAAAUAAUUUUAGUAUUUAUUUUGAUAUUUUAUACUAAUAUUUAUUAAUUUUCAAUUAGCUUAUUUUUUGUCUAAAUAAAUUAUUAUUAAAAAUUUAAGGUAAUACAUUUAAUUUUUUAGUAAGUAUUUAUUAUUUAAUAUUUAUAAAAGAUAAAAUUAAUUAAAAUACAUUUAUAAUUUAUUUUUUUAGUUUUGACAUGACAAAAACGAAAUGAACUGAACACUUUGAAUCUAUAUAUAAAAUACGGGAUGAGAUGGGAUGGAUUGAUCCGUUUUUUAUGGAUUGAUCCCUUUUUGCUAGCCCUAAUGGGACCAAAGAGUCACUAUCCUUUAGAAAAAUUCACACCAAACUUUUGACAUUACAGGCAGGGACAAUGCGAGUAAUAAAUGGCAUAGAAUGAGACCCUAGUCCUCUGGCCACUAUAAAAAGGGAUGAUUGUGUGUGUUACAUGCAUCAGCCACCACCAUUGACUAGUAUCAUUAAGAUGGCUAAUUCCUACUUAUCCUUGCUUGUCUUGAUCCUUGUAGCUCUGCUCCUCACCCCUCAAGGGCUUGCUGAUGAAUCUGAUUCUUACUAUAAGCCACCAGUUUACAAGAAACCACCAGUGUACAAGCCCAAGCCCAAGCCACCCAUUCACAAGCCCAAGCCACCCGUUUACAAGCCCAAGCCACCCGUUUACAAGAAACCCCCUUAUGGUAAGUACCCACCAGUUCAAGACAACGAUCACUUCUAAACCAUGCAACAAGGCAUGUUAAUGUUAACUAUCUACUAAAAUAAAGAGGUUCAGUUAACCUACUACGUACGUUGCUCCUUUUAAUUCCUAAAUCGUAAUUUACAACUUUGUAGGGAUGAGACAUUCUUGGCUAGCUCUGCACUUCAAUCCUUUAUUUGUACAAUGCUAUGGCCAAGUCAAUACCAUGCAUCUUAUCUAUGUGUGUCAUUGAACGAAGUAGUUGCGUGAAAAUGAUGCUUGUACUAUGAAUAAAUAAUAAAAGAACUUUAUCAUUUCAAGAUUGUGCUGUUUAGUUUAUUUGCUGAACCACCGUUACUGACCAUAAAUAAUACACAUGCAGGUCUUGUUUAGGAUAAACUUAAUUAUCCGUAA